rnacentral:rRNA from 1 species
GGGAAAUACGGGGGAGGUGUGUGGGUAAUACGGGGGCUGAAAGGUGUAGCCGGAGUGAUUGGGUGUCAAGUGUCCGUAGGCGGGCCGAUAAGUCAGAGGUGAAAGUUGACAGCUUAAAUGGGAAACAGCCGUUGAUACUGUAGGUAUUGAGUAAAUUUGAAGUGGCUGGAAUAAGUAGUGUAGCGGUGAAAUGCAUAGAUAUUACUUAGAACACCAAUUGCGAAGGCAGGUCACUAAGAUUUAACUGACGCUGAGGGACGAAAGCGUGGGGAGCGAACAGGAUUAGAUACCCUAGUAGUC